rnacentral:misc_RNA from 1 species
AAAGUCGUAACAAGGUUUCCGUAGGUGAACCUGCGGAAGGAUCAUCAAUAGUCCAAAACAUUACUUAACUAUUAUAUGGUUAAGUAAUAAACCUUCUUGUGCACUGUUGUUAAUGUCAUGGUAGACUGGGAGUUUUUGUUAUUGUUGUUGCUGUUACUUAAUUGUGGUGGCAAUGAUAAUGAUGCGCCUCCCAGCCUACUGUCUGUUAUCACACAAACACUGUUAUUUUAAAGUCUGAUUCUUGUUGUAUUAUCACUGCGUAACAUCAGUAGAUAAAUAAUACUAUUAAUACAACUUACAGCGAUGGAUCUCUAGGCUCUG